ACCUCCUUUCUGUCGUCCAUACUUGGUGUAGCUCUCCCGCUCAAUUAGAGUAAUCAGUGUUUUCCGUGUCCUUUUCUUUAGAUGUUGUAGGUACUUCUCUGGUACUUCUACUAGUUUGCGGGACGUCAUCUCGCUCGGCUCGAACUGAGGCCGCCACAAAUACUGCUCCCUGGUGGCUGUCGCCAACUCAGGUCAAAAACUCUGUCUCCCCCAUUCAUUCUAGUUGGGGCAGUGGUCCGACUUUAAAAAAUAAGUACACGUUUUACGAAUGUAUCUGACAUCCGUAUGCUGUGGUGAUAUGUUGUUAUUAUUUGACUGUUUUGUGUUCAAGGCCUCUUUUUUUCUGAAAAGUUUCUUUUUCGUUAGUUAUUAGAGGUUAAAAAACGGGGUUUUAUAUUCUGAUUUACUUUGAUUGACUGCCAUUCUUGCAUAGUUCCUUCAUGAAUAGCAACAUUAAGGAGCCGGGAGGAUGUUAAACUUCUGUCCGUUCAUGACUUUCGCUGAACUGGAAAACAAAGUUGUUUUUGCUGUGGAUUGAUCUCGCUGACCUGCGGGAUCUAAGGGAUUGCUGAAGAUCUUUGGUUUCCCUCCAGGUGAAGGUGAUGCAGGCUGAGGCAGUGGAUGACGAACAUGACGGAAGCCCUGGACACCUUUACCAUCAUCUCAUCUGUGCAGUGCUUCUUCAGAAGAGCAUGACUUCACCACAGACUCACAGGUGCACUGGAUGCUGUAUCUGCAGUCAAACAGCAGCCGGGAGCAGGAAGUUCAGAAGCUUGAAACGGGAUGGCCUCACAGGGGGUUAUUCAACUAUUAGCAUCUAUGCUGGUGUAGCUACUGGUCUAAGUCACAUAAUGUCAAUUUUAUGAUUGUAAAUUGACUGAUUCCUGCUCCUCAACUGUGAAUAUUUUUGGUUUCCUGAUUCCUUUAUGACAGUAAAAUUAAUAUCUUGGGGUCGUGGACAAAACAGGGCAUUCGAGGUUGUCACCUUUGGCUUUGGGAAACCCUGGCUGGCCCUUUUCACCCUUUUAUAACAUAUUAAAACAGUUGUUCAUUGAGAAAGUAAUUCACCCAUUACUGGUCACGCGAAAAUCAUUAGUUGCAGCACUUCUCAUACUCAACCGCAUUACUGUGGUAAAUGCUUUACUUUUUACUGCUCCUCACCACCAUUGACUUUUAUCAUUAAGAAUAACAUGUUUCAUAUGGUAUGAUGCAGUACUGUGCCCCUAACCGACACAGAGAAUCUAAAUUAGCUCCAGAUUAAUAAAGUAUUCAUACGAAAAGUUUUGAGGAAAACACUGAGUACUACAAACACAACUUUAGAGGUAUACAGAGUUUACAGAGUAUUUUUACUUUUUGAUUUAUGUGUUUACUCCUGCGAGAUCAAUGCACAUUAGGUCAUUAGCCUGUAGUCAGUGCAUCUUUCCACAUUUGUUUACAGUUGUCUUUGAUGUAACUCUGCAGUCAUUCAAAUACAGUCACGUUAAUAGUACCCUAUUCUAUUCAUGUAACUGUGUUGUGUGAGAAUAAAUCUUGCAAAGAAAAGUCA